UGCCCGCUGAGGCGUUUUCCUUCUUUUAUGGCAACAAGAAUGAAAUCUCUGUGGCUUUUCCUCUCCCUGUUAUCCGCCCCUACCUGUGUCCUCUCCCAGGUGCAGCUGGUCGAGUCCGGCCCGGGCGUGGUGAAGCCCGGACAGACCCUCGCACUGACCUGCGCUGUCUCCGGGGUCUCUAUCACGAGCAGCAGCUACGCCUGGAACUGGGUCCGGCAGCCCCCCGGGAAAGGGCUGGAGUGGGUAGCACGUAUAUACCCACACGACGGGAGAAAGUGGUUCGCCGCGUCUCUCCAAAGCCGGACCAGCAUCUCUUCGGAUACCUCCAAGAACCAGUUCUCCCUGCAGCUGGCCUCCCUCGCGGCUGCGGACACCGCCAUGUAUUACUGCGCCGGAGACACACAGCGACACGGAGCAAAGAGGGGCUGGCACAAAAAGGGGAAGCGGAUUGUCUAGAGUCACUCGGGGCCCUGUCACACUCAGUCUCCACUGGAAGC